rnacentral:rRNA from 1 species
UACGUAGGUGGCAAGCGAUACUCGGAAUCACUAGGCGUAAAGCGCAGGUAGGCGGCUCGAUAAGUCUCUUGUGAAAGCUCCCGGCUCAACUGGGAGAGGUCAAGGGAAACUGUUGGGCUAGAGUGUGGUAGAGGAAGCUGGAAUUCCCGGUGUAGCGGUGGAAUGCGUAGAGAUCCGGAAGAACACCGGUGGCGAAGGCGGCCUGCUGGGCUAUGGCUGACACUGAGGCGCGACAGCGUGGGGAGCAAACAGG